AGAUUGCAGUCUGAGCGAAAAGCUAAAUUUAUUAAAACUUUCAACAACGGAUCUCUUGGUUCCGGCAUCGAUGAAGAACGCAGCGAAAUGCGAUAAGUAAUGUGAAUUGCAAAAUUCAGUGAAUCAUCGAGUCUUUGAACGCACAUUGCGCCCCCUGGUAUUCCGGGGGGCAUGCCUGUCCGAGCGUCAUUGCUGCCCUCAAGCACGGCUUGUGUGUUGGGCCCUCGUCCCCCGGGACGGGCCCGAAAGGCAGCGGCGGCACCGCGUCCGGUCCUCUAGCGUAUGGGGCUUCGUCACCCGCUCUGUAUGCCCGGCCGGCGCCUGCCGACACCAUCAAUCUUUUUUCCAGGUUGACCUCUGAUCAAGUAGGGAUACCCGCUGAACUUAAGCAU
rnacentral:rRNA from 1 species